UGCCCCCUGUCGGGACGCCGGGGGUGGCAGGAGCCGCCUCGCAGCGCCGCGGGGGCGCCGGGGGCGCCGCGCGAUGCUGCGGGGGAGGCGGCGGCGGGGGCUGCCGCCCCGGCGGCAGGACAUGGCUCGCGUGCAGGCCGUGCGCGGGACCCUUGGCGUGCGCUGGGGGCUGCUCGGGCUGCGGUGGCCGCCCGGGGCUGGCGCCGCCGCGGUAGCCAUAAGGAGCAAUUCCCAAACAAAAACAAGCUAUGGAUGGAAUAGGCAUUGUGCCCAGUCUGAUCGCCGACGGGUCCUUUCCCGCUAGGAAUUUUAUGUUCUGUCUUUUGGAUGCUGCUCUCUCAGACUCAAUCUGAGGAGCGAGAGUCUCCCGGACUGACUGUUCUCUAUCUGAAGCACGUCUCUGGAGCGCACACGGGAAUGGCUGAAAUUCUGAGUAGCUGAUGGUGGCAUUUGAGAGCUUUCACCCCCCUAGACUAGGCGUGUGAUUUUAAAGAAGCAAUACUUUAUCCGCCAUUUGACCAAUUAAUUGUUUGGGGGUAAUUUCCUUGCAGUCAUUUGUAGCAAUGAGCACAAUCUAGGCAUAAAGGUUGAAAUUUAUACUCGGAUUAUAUAGGAAUUUACACCAAGAUUGUGUGGAAGGCCUAAACAUCACCAUCUUCCAAAUAAAAAAGUAAGCACUCUAAAAGCAAUAA